GAUGAACGCUGGCGGCGUGCCUAAUACAUGCAAGUCGAACGCACAGCGAAAGGUGCUUGCACCUUUCAAGUGAGCGGCGAACGGGUGAGUAACACGUGGACAACCUGCCUCAAGGCUGGGGAUAACAUUUGGAAACAGAUGCUAAUACCGAAUAAAACUUAGUGUCGCAUGACACAAAGUUAAAAGGCGCUUCGGCGUCACCUAGAGAUGGAUCCGCGGUGCAUUAGUUAGUUGGUGGGGUAAAGGCCUACCAAGACAAUGAUGCAUAGCCGAGUUGAGAGACUGAUCGGCCACAUUGGGACUGAGACACGGCCCAAACUCCUACGGGAGGCUGCAGUAGGGAAUCUUCCACAAUGGGCGAAAGCCUGAUGGAGCAACGCCGCGUGUGUGAUGAAGGCUUUCGGGUCGUAAAGCACUGUUGUAUGGGAAGAACAGCUAGAAUAGGAAAUGAUUUUAGUUCGACGGUACCAUACCAGAAAGGGACGGCUAAAUACGUG
rnacentral:rRNA from 1 species